UGGGGAAUUUUGGACAAUGGGCGCAAGCCUGAUCCAGCCAUGCCGCGUGCGGGAAGAAGGCCUUCGGGUUGUAAACCGCUUUUGUCAGGGAAGAAAAGGUUCUGGUUAAUACCUGGGACUCACGACGGUACCUGAAGAAUAAGCACCGGCUAACUACGUGCCAGCAGCCGCGGUAAUACGUAGGGUGCAAGCGUUAAUCGGAAUUACUGGGCGUAAAGCGUGCGCAGGCGGUUAUGCAAGACAGAGGUGAAAUCCCCGGGCUCAACCUGGGAACUGCCUUUGUGACUGCAUAGCUAGAGUACGGUAGAGGGGGAUGGAAUUCCGCGUGUAGCAGUGAAAUGCGUAGAUAUGCGGAGGAACACCGAUGGCGAAGGCAAUCCCCUGGACCUGUACUGACGCUCAUGCACGAAAGCGUGGGGAGCAAACAGG
rnacentral:rRNA from 1 species